UGUUUUGUUUUUUUCUUUUUUUAUCUGAGGAUCGGUAGAAAAUAGUCUAGUAUUUGUCUUAAGCUCAAAUUUAGGAAUAUGCAAAGUAUCAUGAUUAUUAUUGUCUACUUGCUCUUUUCUUCUUCUUUUUUUCUCCAAUUCAGAAAUUUGGAGCCCUUGGCUGGGAGAAGGAACAGUUACAUGGCGAGAAAAAAAGGGGGUAACAUCCUUCAUUUCAUCAUCCAUUUGUGAAGCCUCCAUCAUCGAGACGUCCAUGAGAGCAGGGGUGGAGAAUGCAGAUAUUAACUCCCCAGGUGAACU
rnacentral:ribozyme from 13 species